rnacentral:rRNA from 1 species
UCGGAGUCUGCAACUCGACUCCGUGAAGUCGGAAUCGCUAGUAAUCGUGGAUCAGAAUGCCACGGUGAAUACGUUCCCGGGCCUUGUACACACCGCCCGUCACACCAUGGGAGUGGGCUGCACCAGAAGUGGUUAGUUUAACCUUCGGGAGAACGAUCACCACGGUGUGGUUCAUGACUGGGGUGAAGUCGUAACAAGGUAGCCGUAGGGGAACCUGCGGCUGGAUCACCUCCUUACAAAACAGCUUA